UACGUAGGGUGCAAGCGUUGUCCGGAAUUAUUGGGCGUAAAGAGCUCGUAGGCGGUCUGUCGCGUCGGAUGUGAAAACCCGGAGCUCAACUCCGGGCCUGCAGUCGAUACGGGCGGACUUGAGUGUUGCAGGGGAGACUGGAAUUCCUGGUGUAGCGGUGAAAUGCGCAGAUAUCGGGAGGAACACCGGUGGCGAAGGCGGUUCUCUGGGCAUUACCUGACGCUGAGGAGCGAAAGUGUGGGGAGCGAACAGG
rnacentral:rRNA from 1 species